UACGUAGGGUGCAAGCGUUAAUCGGAAUUACUGGGCGUAAAGCGUGCGCAGGCGGUUUUGUAAGUCUGUCGUGAAAGCCCCGGGCUCAACCUGGGAAUUGCGAUGGAGACUGCAAGGCUUGAAUCUGGCAGAGGGGGGUAGAAUUCCACGUGUAGCAGUGAAAUGCGUAGAGAUGUGGAGGAACACCGAUGGCGAAGGCAGCCCCCUGGGUCAAGAUUGACGCUCAUGCACGAAAGCGUGUGGAGCAAACAGG
rnacentral:rRNA from 1 species